rnacentral:rRNA from 1 species
UACGUAGGGGGCAAGCGUUGUCCGGAAUUACUGGGCGUAAAGCGCCUGUAGGCGGGAACGUGCGUCAGACGUGAAAGGCGGGGGCUCAACCCCCGAGCGGCGUUCGAAACGGCGUUUCUUGAGGGUCGAAGAGGAGCGUGGAAUUCCCGGUGUAGCGGUGAAAUGCGUAGAGAUCGGGAGGAACACCCAUGGCGAAGGCAGCGCUCUGGUCGGCAUCUGACGCUGAGAAGCGAAAGCAUGGGGAGCGAACAGG